AGACCCGAAACCCGGUGAUCUAGCCAUGGGCAGGUUGAAGGUUGGGUAACACUAACUGGAGGACCGAACCGACUAAUGUUGAAAAAUUAGCGGAUGACCUGUGGCUGGGGGUGAAAGGCCAAUCAAACCGGGAGAUAGCUGGUUCUCCCCGAAAGCUAUUUAGGUAGCGCCUCGUGAAUUCAUCUCCGGGGGUAGAGCACUGUUUCGGCUAGGGGGCCAUCCCGGCUUACCAACCCGAUGCAAACUGCGAAUACCGGAGAAUGUUAUCACGGGAGACACACGGCGGGUGCUAACGUCCGUCGUGAAGAGGGAAACAACCCAGACCGCCAGCUAAGGUCCCAAAGUCAUGGUUAAGUGGGAAACGAUGUGGGAAGGCCCAGACAGCCAGGAUGUUGGCUUAGAAGCAGCCAUCAUUUAAAGAAAGCGUAAUAGCUCACUGGUCGAGUCGGCCUGCGCGGAAGAUGUAACGGGGCUAAACCAUGCACCGAAGCUGCGGCAGCGACGCUGAUGCGUUGUUGGGUAGGGGAGCGUUCUGUAAGCCUGCGAAGGUGGCCUGUGAGGGUUGCUGGAGGUAUCAGAAGUGCGAAUGCUGACAUAAGUAACGAUAAAGCGGGUGAAAAGCCCGCUCGCCGGAAGACCAAGGGUUCCUGUCCAACGUUAAUCGGGGCAGGGUGAGUCGACCCCUAAGGCGAGGCCGAAAGGCGUAGUCGAUGGGAAACGGGUUAAUAUUCCCGUACUUGGUGUUACUGCGAAGGGGGGACGGAGAAGGCUAUGUUGGCCGGGCGACGGUUGUCCCGGUUUAAGCGUGUAGGUGUGUGUUCCAGGUAAAUCCGGUUCACUUUAACACUGAGGCGUGAUGACGAGGCACUACGGUGCUGAAGCAACAAAUGCCCUGCUUCCAGGAAAAGCCUCUAAGCAUCAGGUAACAUCAAAUCGUACCCCAAA
rnacentral:rRNA from 1 species